CGGAGAACUUUUACUUAAAUUCUGAAUGCAGUUAUGGUCGUUGCGUUGCUGGUGCUGGUGCCCGAGGGAAUGAUGCUAGUGACGGGUGUCAAGUCACCGGCGAUGGCGGUUUUGUCGGAAAGUAUGGAGCCUGCAAUUAAAAAGGGCGAUAUGGUGUUUGUGCACAACAUGAGCAAUCAACCUUUCCGCGAAGGAGAGGUUGUUCUUUUCAAAGUUGAUGGUUUUGAACAUCCAAUUGUCCAUCGUGUGAUCAAGGUUUACGAGCAUCGAGAUAUUGGAGAAAUCUGAAUACUCACCAAAGGAGACAACAAUUCAGUGGAUGACCGAUUUCUCUAUGCGAGCGGGCAGCUUUGGCUUCAACCGCAUGACAUUAUUGGACGGGUUGCAGGCUAUCUGCCGUAUGCUGGAUGGCCUAGUGUCUUCAUCAGUGAAGCUUAUAAGGUACGCAAGCACACAUUAUAUUCUGGUUAA
rnacentral:rRNA from 1 species